GAACGAGAGAGAAACGUCCAUGCAGCUCCAGUGCUGCUCUGCUCAUUCAUUAUUCAGCGAGAGCGUGCUGAGCGCGAGAGAAAGAGAGAGACAGUAGAGAGAGACAGUAGAGAGAGAGAGAGAGAGAGAGAGACGCGCAGACAGAGAUCAGACAACAGCACAAGCGCCCGAUGCGUUAAAGCGCUCAAUGUCAAAGUUGCUGCAGCAUCCGAGAGCGAUGCACUGACGUAUUUACAUCGCACUGACUGGCACAGUGACAGGUUCAUCUUACAAUCUACAGCUGAGGAACUGAUAGUCACUAGAUGCUGUUCACUGAUGAGAGCAUUCAGCCUUUUGUUGAGCUGCCUGUUUAUAAAGAGAGCGAGCGAGUGAGCGAGACCCAUGUUGCCAUGACUGUUGCCAGCGUAGAGUCCAUCUAAGUGUGUUUCCCAGUUAAAUCAUCAGAUCGACAAGAAAUACUGCCGGCAUGGUUUCAUUUUGGAUGAUAUUUUCUGCUUUUUUGGUAGGUGGAUUGAUUUAUUUUUUUAAAAACUCAUAUAAAGGAACACUUUUAAUGCACAUCUGUAGCCAGUUAGACUUCUGGUUCAAGACGCACUUUUUUGUGGUUUUGUAAUGUUUUAUAUUCAGAAACUGUACUGUAAGCGAAUAAUUAAAUUGUAGCGUAAUAAAUUAAUAAUAAAUAAUAAAAUAUGAAAGUUAAAUAAUACAUAAUUUAAAAAAUAUAUAUUAAUAAAAUAAUUCAAUAAUAAAACUGUAGAAUCUAAAUAAAUAUUUCAAAAUAAACCAUGAAAAAUGUGUUUACCUGCAUGUCAUGUGACCAUUAAUUCACUGAUCAGAGAACAUCCGGGCCAUUUUUACGGGACGCGUCCUUGCCAGGGUUUCUACAUUGCCUAAUAAAUCCAGGAUUUGGCUGUUUGCACUGUGCAGAUCGAUCGUUGUAUGACAUUCAUGAGAGCUACGGAGAGCAGAGCAGAUAUGCUUUCGAAUCGCUCUCGUGGGACUUUAGGGUCAUAAAAUGAUUGGUGCGCUCAUUGUGUUUGUUGUUAAGUUUAGGUAGGAUCUAAAAUAUGGUCAUGUAGAAUAAGACAUUAAAUGGGCUUUAAAAGUGCUGAAAUAGCCGGUGUGCAAGUAAUAGACAUGCUAAUAAGCAGCUAGUUAAUAGUGAGAAUUUUCUUUCAAUUAAUUAUAUUUCUUCUUCUUCUUCUUUUUCUUUUUUUUCUUUUUUUUUCUAGUCCAUCUUGGUUGGAUUUUUGUAGCCUGAGUCUGCCUCAAUGCAUUCUGGGUUUGACUUAUCCUUGAAGCACACCUGCAAUACUGACAUAAUAUCUGCCCAAAAAUAAAUAAAUAAAAGAUCAAAAGAAACCUUUUGAAGCAGUCAGAGGGCACAGGGAGUGUAGAGAGUAAAAUAAAAUAAUAGAAAGUUAAAUAAUAACAUAAU
rnacentral:lncRNA from 1 species